rnacentral:rRNA from 1 species
GUGCCAGCAGCCGCGGUAAUACGGAGGAUGCAAGCGUUAUCCGGAUUUAUUGGGUUUAAAGGGUGCGUAGGCGGAUAAAUAAGUCAGUGGUGAAAGCCUGCAGCUUAACUGUAGAAUUGCCAUUGAUACUGUUUAUCUUGAGUACAGCUGAGGUGGGCGGAAUAUGACAUGUAGCGGUGAAAUGCUUAGAUAUGUCAUAGAACACCGAUUGCGAAGGCAGCUCACUAAACUGUCACUGACGCUGAGGCACGAAAGCGUGGGGAGCAAACAGGAUUAGAUACCCCUGUAGUCC